UACGGGAGGCAGCACUGGGGAAUAUUGCACAAUGGGCGCAAGCCUGAUGCAGCCAUGCCGCGUGUAUGAAGAAGGCCUUCGGGUUGUAAAGUACUUUCAGUCGUGAGGAAGGUGUUAAGGUUAAUAACCUUAGCAAUUGACGUUAGCGACAGAAGAAGCACCGGCUAACUCCGUGCCAGCAGCCGCGGUAAUACGGAGGGUGCGAGCGUUAAUCGGAAUUACUGGGCGUAAAGGGCACGCAGGCGGUUAAUUAAGUUGGAUGUGAAAUCCCCGGGCUUAACCUGGGAAUGGCAUUCAAGACUGGUUAGCUAGAGUCUUGUAGAGGGGGUAGAAUUCCAUGUGUAGCGGUGAAAUGCGUAGAGAUGUGGAGGAAUACCGGUGGCGAAGGCGGCCCCCUGGACAAAGGACUGACGCUCAUGUGCGAAAGCGUGGGGAGCAAACAGGGAUUAGAUACC
rnacentral:rRNA from 1 species